rnacentral:rRNA from 1 species
CCCUUAGAUGUUCUGGGCCGCACGCGCGCUACACUGACGAAGUCAGCGAGCAUGUCCUACGCCGACAGGUGCGGGGAAUCUUGUCAAACUUCGUCGUGAUGGGGAUUGAUUAUUGAAAUUCUUGAUCAUCAACGAGGAAUUCCGAGUAAGCGCAAGUCAGCAGCUUGCGUUGAUUACGUCCCUGCCCUUUGUACACACCGCCCGUCGCUACUACCGAUUGAAUGGUUUAGUGAGAUCUUCGGAUUGGCGCCACUGCGGCUCAGCAAUGGGCUCGGUGGAUGCCGAAAAGUUGAUCAAACUUGAUCAUUUAGAGGAAGUAAAAGUCGUAACA